AAGUCGUAACAAGGUAACCGUAGGUGAACCUGCGGUUGGAUCAUUAUUGAUACAACGGUCUUGGAGUCCUCUUCGGAGUUGAUUCCUCGACCUUACCCACCCCAUGUGCACUGUAAAUGUUUUUUGGGACUACUCCUAGCCUAGCGUUUUGCUAGUCUUGCCUAGUGUUUGCCUAGUGCUUACCUAGUAGUGGUCCCAGCAGUAUAUAAACUCUAUUUAAUUUGUCUGAAAUGAAACCAAGAAUCGUAACAACUUUUGACAACGGAUCUCUUGGCUCUC
rnacentral:misc_RNA from 1 species